rnacentral:rRNA from 1 species
GGAGUGCUGGUAGCUUAAAUACUUAACACAACAAUAAUAUUCAGCCAGAGUACUACUAGCAAUAGCCUAAAACUCAAAGGACUUGGCGGUGUUUAUAUCCAUCUAGAGGAGCCUGUCCUGUAAUCGAUAAUCCCCGAUAAACCUCACCAACCCUUGCUAAUACAGCUUAUAUACCGCCAUCCUCAGCAAACCCUAAAAAGGAAACAUAGUAAGCUCAAACAUUAUACAUAAAAACGUUAGGUCAAGGUGUAGCUAAUGAGUUGGGAAGAGAUGGGCUACAUUUUCUAAUCAAGAACAUUAUAAUCACUAACGAAUGUCCCCCUGAAACCAGGGACUGAAGGAGGAUUUAGCAGUAAAUCAAGAACAGAGUGCUUGAUUGAAUUAGGCCAUGAAGCACGCACACACCGCCCGUCACCCUCAAA